rnacentral:lncRNA from 1 species
UCUAAUUCUGAUUGACAUGAUGAAAUGCAAUAUGAAAUGCUAAAUGAAUGCAUGAAUGAGGAGGGCAAAUUUUGGGGUGUUACAGCUGCCCCUAUUCAAUCAUCAGCUAACCCGAGUAGGAUGAAAGCGAACAGCUUAUCAGACAAACGGGGUGAGCUGUGAUUGAAUACCAAAGAUAGACCAAAAAUUUGCGCUCCGAGAACACCACAAAAACGCGGAAAUACACCGCGCUGUUUAUUUUUCUUCCGAUCCUCUGGCUGGAUCUGA